UCACAUCUGGAGGAACUCGCAGGAAUGCAGUUUUCUUUACUUGAAAUCGAGAAUACAGAAAAGCCAACUUCCACAGUUGACAUUUGUCCUUCCACUUCUCUGACUGGCUGUUAUGGAUCAAAGCAAGACUUGAGAGCACCCAGAUUGAAAUGAAUGCUCUGCUGUAAGUUCACCCACGGCAGUGAAGCUGUUCUCCUGAAACACUAUCACUUU